UCUAUAACCGGGUGUGGCUGCGGCCUCCGGGGGCGUGUCUCCCGGGUGGUAGAGGUAGAACUCGCACGCGCCACAUGUCUGAAUCCUUUUUUUACGAGCACCUUUCGUUCUCCUUCGGUGGGGUGACCUGCCGUUGGAACCCAUCAAAACUCUUUUUGCAUCUAGCAUUACCUGUUCUGAUACAAACAAUCGUUA
rnacentral:misc_RNA from 1 species